UGGGGAAUAUUGCACAAUGGGCGCAAGCCUGAUGCAGCCAUGCCGCGGGUGUGAAGAAGGCCUUCGGGUUGUAAAGCACUUUCAGCGGGGAGGAAGGCGUUAAGGUUAAUAACCUUGGCGAUUGACGUUACCCGCAGAAGAAGCACCGGCUAACUCCGUGCCAGCAGCCGCGGUAAUACGGAGGGUGCAAGCGUUAAUCGGAAUUACUGGGCGUAAAGCGCACGCAGGCGGUCUGUCAAGUCGGAUGUGAAAUCCCCGGGCUCAACCUGGGAACUGCAUUCGAAACUGGCAGGCUAGAGUCUUGUAGAGGGGGGUAGAAUUCCAGGUGUAGCGGUGAAAGGCGUAGAGAUCUGGAGGAAUACCGGUGGCGAAGGCGGCCCCCUGGACAAAGACUGACGCUCAGGUGCGAAAGCGUGGGGAGCAAACAGG
rnacentral:rRNA from 1 species